CAGUCGCCGCGGUAAAACGUAGGGUGCGAGCGUUAAUCGGAAUUACUGGGCGUAAAGCGUGCGCAGGCGGUUUUGUAAGACAGAGGUGAAAUCCCCGGGCUCAACCUGGGAACUGCCUUUGUGACUGCAAGGCUAGAGUACGGCAGAGGGGGAUGGAAUUCCGCGUGUAGCAGUGAAAUGCGUAGAUAUGCGGAGGAACACCGAUGGCGAAGGCAAUCCCCUGGGCCUGUACUGACGCUCAUGCACGAAAGCGUGGGGAGCAAACAGGAUUAGAUACCCCCGUAGUCCCUGUCUCUUAUAC
rnacentral:rRNA from 1 species